CCUACGGGAGGCAGCAGUAGGGAAUCUUCCGCAAUGGACGAAAGUCUGACGGAGCAACGCCGCGUGAGCGAUGAAGGCCUUCGGGUCGUAAAGCUCUGUUGUCAGGGAAGAACAAGUAUCGGAGUAACUGCCGGUACCUUGACGGUACCUGACCAGAAAGCCACGGCUAACUACGUGCCAGCAGCCGCGGUAAUACGUAGGUGGCAAGCGUUGUCCGGAAUUAUUGGGCGUAAAGCGCGCGCAGGCGGUUCCUUAAGUCUGAUGUGAAAGCCCCCGGCUCAACCGGGGAGGGUCAUUGGAAACUGGGGAACUUGAGUGCAGAAGAGGAGAGCGGAAUUCCACGUGUAGCGGUGAAAUGCGUAGAGAUGUGGAGGAACACCAGUGGCGAAGGCGGCUCUCUGGUCUGUAACUGACGCUGAGGCGCGAAAGCGUGGGGAGCGAACAGGAUUAGAUACCCUGGUAGUCCACGCCGUAAACGAUGAGUGCUAAGUGUUAGAGGGUUUCCGCCCUUUAGUGCUGCAGCAAACGCAUUAAGCACUCCGCCUGGGGAGUACGGCCGCAAGGUUGAAACUCAAAGGAAUUGACGG
rnacentral:rRNA from 1 species